rnacentral:rRNA from 1 species
UUAUGGCUCAGGAUGAACGCUAGCGGCAGGCUAACACAUGCAAGUCGAGGGGCAGCGGGUCUAGCAAUAGAUGCCGGCGACCGGCGAAAGGGUGAGUAACGCGUGAGCAACGUGCCCGUAUGUGGGGGAUAGUCGAUGGAAACGUCGCGUAAUACCCCGUAACACAUUUGGCCGCAUGGCCUUAUGUUGAAAGAUUUAUUGCAUACGGAUCGGCUCGCGUGCCAUUAGGUAGACGGCGGGGUAACGGCCCACCGUGCCGACGAUGGCUAGGGGUUCUGAGGGGAAGGUCCCCCACAUUGGAACUGAGACACGGUCCAGACUCCUACGGGAGGCAGCAGUGAGGAAUAUUGGACAAUGGCCGGAAGGCUGAUCCAGCCAUGCCGCGUGCGGGAAAGACGGCCCUAUGGGUUGUAAACCGCUUUUGCGGGGGAGCAAUAAGAGUCACGUGUGGCUCGAUGAGAGUACCCUGCGAAUAAGCAUCGGCUAACUCCGUGCCAGCCGCGGC